rnacentral:sRNA from 1 species
ACAUGCGCAGGAGGCUCAAUGACAGUCGAGCUUUGGCUAAGGCUCCAGGGAAAGGGUCUAGCCAUGCUGCAUGUGACCCGGGGGGUCUGGGGGUCCAGGGUCCGAGUAUGGCCACUGUUGCCCGCGCUCCUCGGGCCCCCCCGGGCCCUCUCAUCGCUGGCAGCCAAAAUGGGGGAGUAUCGCAAGAUGUGGAACCCCAGGGAGCCCCGCGACUGGGCCCAGCAGUACCGCGAGCGCUUCAUUCCCUUCUCCAAGGAGCAGCUGCUCCGCCUGCUAAUACAGAGUCUUGAUGUUGUCUAGUCUGGAGGGCAGUGGCACGAUCUCGACUCACUGCAGCCUCCGCCUCCCUGGUUCAAGCAAUUCUCCAGCUUCAGCCUCCUGAGUAGCUGGGACUACAGGUGCACGCCAUCAUGCCCGGCUAAUUUUUGUAUUUUUAGUAGAGACGGGAUUUCACCAUGUUGGCCACGCUGGUCUCGAACUCCUGACUUCAAGUGAUCCACCUGCCUCGGCCUCCCAAAGUGCUGGGAUUACAGGUGCGAGACACUGCGCCUGGCCCCAGAACAAA